ACGUAGGGUGCGAGCGUUAAUCGGAAUUACUGGGCGUAAAGCGUGCGCAGGCGGUUUUGUAAGCCAGAUGUGAAAGCCCCGGGCUUAACCUGGGAAUGGCAUUUGGGACUGCAAGGCUUGAGUGCGGCAGAGGUGACUGGAAUUCCCGGUGUAGCAGUGAAAUGCGUAGAUAUCAGGAGGAACUCCGGUGGCGAAGGCGGCUCUCUGGACCACAACUGACGCUGAGGCGCGAAAGCUAGGGGAGCAAACAGGA
rnacentral:rRNA from 1 species